rnacentral:rRNA from 1 species
GAGUUUGAUCCUGGCUCAGGAUAAACGCUGGCGGCGCACAUAAGACAUGCAAGUCGAACGAACUUAAUUUUAAUAUUUAUAUUAAAAAGCGGUUAGUGGCGGACUGGUGAGUAACGCGUAAGCAAUCUGCCUAUCAGAGGGGGAAUAACAGUGAGAAAUCAUUGCUAAUACCGCAUAUGCCAUAAGAAUCACAUGAUUCUAGUGGGAAAGGAGCAAUCCACUGAUAGAUGAGCUUGCGUCUGAUUAGCUAGUUGGUGGGAUAACGGCCUACCAAGGCGACGAUCAGUAGCCGGACUGAGAGGUUGAACGGCCACAUUGGGACUGAGAUACGGCCCAGACUCCUACGGGAGGCAGCAGUCGGGAAUAUUGCGCAAUGGAGGAAACUCUGACGCAGUGACGCCGCGUAUAGGAAGAAGGUUUUCGGAUUGUAAACUAUUGUCGUUAGGGAAGAUAAAAGACAGUACCUAAGGAGGAAGCUCCGGCUAACUACGUGCCAGCCGCCGCCGUAAG